UGUGACCUCAAAUCAGGUAGGACUACCCGCUGAACUUAAGCAUAUCAAUAAGCGGAGGAAAAGAAACUAACAAGGAUUCCCCUAGUAACUGCGAGUGAAGCGGGAAAAGCUCAAAUUUAAAAUCUGGCAGCCUUUGGUUGUCCGAGUUGUAAUCUAGAGAAGUGUUAUCCGCGCUGGACCGUGUACAAGUCUCCUGGAAUGGAGCGUCAUAGAGGGUGAGAAUCCCGUCUUUGACACGGACUACCAGGGCUUUGUGAUGCGCUCUCAAAGAGUCGAGUUGUUUGGGAAUGCAGCUCAAAAUGGGUGGUAAAUUCCAUCUAAAGCUAAAUAUUGGCGAGAGACCGAUAGCGAACAAGUACCGUGAGGGAAAGAUGAAAAGAACUUUGGAAAGAGAGUUAAACAGUACGUGAAAUUGCUGAAAGGGAAACGCUUGAAGUCAGUCGCGUUGUCCAGUGAUCAACCUUGCUUUUGCUUGGUGCACUUUCUGGUUGACGGGUCAGCAUCAAUUUUGACUAUUGGAAAAAGAUUAGGGGAAUGUGGCAUCUUUGGAUGUGUUAUAGCCCUUGGUUGCAUACAAUGGUUGGGAUUGAGGAACUCAGCACGCCGCAAGGCCGGG
rnacentral:rRNA from 1 species